UGUGAAUAGUGAUUGCCAUGG
rnacentral:miRNA from 1 species